rnacentral:tRNA from 1 species
AGGUCGGUAGCUCAGUUGGUAGAGCGGCGGUCUCCAAAACCGUAGGUCGCAGGUUCGAUCCCUGUCCGACCUG